GUGUGUGUCCCACUGGCGAUGUCGGUAUGUCAGCGUGUGUCGUGUGUGCCACCGGUCAUCUGUGUGUGGUGCGUGUGUCUCCGCACCACGACUCCCUCUCCUGGGUCUGCUCAGUCCACGGAGGCAGCUCCCCUUCAGCUGUUGCCAGAAAACCGGGGAGGAAACGUCCAUGGAGCGCCUCGGGGAACACGCAUGGACAAUUAAACACACCCACUUACGGCGGGAUGAUGAGGCUUUCUGUUAACCACAUGUGUUCAGAAAUGGAUACAGCCCUAAUUUUGACACGGAAUGCAGCUAAUGCACCUUGCUAUAGAUGUACGUCCGUUGGAAAAGUGUGUGAUGGGCACCUGAUCUACACCAAGAGAACAGGGCUGUCUGCAGAAGACCCAGCGGCCUGACACCUUUUCUUGUUGCCGGGGAAGGAAAGUUUUUCUUUUGAUUUGUCCUCUCACGAUUUUUCCCUUUUCCUUUGCAUUACAGUUUCAGAGAGGAAUGUAAAUAUUUUGACUAGACCUCUGCAGGGGCCUUUUAAACACCAGGCACAAUCAUCUGUGGAAUACUGUAGUUCAUACUUUCAAAACUUGGGUGUUAAAGAGUCUGUCUUGCUGAGGAAACCCAUAGAACUAGUGGCGACCUUUCAACUCCCUAUUUGUGUGAUGAAAUGAAGUAUGCCCUAGUGAUUGUCGAAUUUUAAGGACUUGUUCUGUCACUGCUACUUUCCGAUCGUUUGCAGGGAAGAAAAAUCAAUCAAACAGACCUUUGAUGGGGUUGUGGCAAGGUCACAUUUCACUGUGCUCCAGGCUUACCUCUUCUUAACGCCCCUCCCUGCUGUGGAGCGUGUGCAGGUAGUAUGCAAAACUCUAGAAAUAAUAUUUGAAAAAAUUAACACCUUGUUUAUCUCUUCUGUGUAUUUGAUAUAGGGGUUUCUUUCUUUUCCUGUUUUGGUGUUUAAUACAAGGCUGAUAUAUUGGAACAGAAUGCAGACUUCAAAGAAACUAAAAUUAGGAGGCAAAUAGCGUCAAGGUUUCCUCGGUUUCUGUAUGUAGUACAAAUAGUAUAGCGUCUUUUCAUCCAAAAAGAAGCAAAAAUUGCCAGGAGGCAUAAAGCAUCUCUGAAUAUCCGUUUUUUUUAAAGAAACAAACAUUUCCCAAAUAUUGAUGUACGCAUGGUUUUAUAGUCUGAAAAUAUUUCUAGGCACAAAUAUGGCAUACAAACAUUCGUUUCAACUCUGUCGUUGUUGUUAAAAUGACAGUAAAUUAUAGUUUAUUUUAAGAUACCUCCCUGUUAAUGUCAGUUGAGGUUAUUUUAGGGCCUGGAUGCUCUAGGAAGACCACCUAAAAUGUGUUUAUUUCUCUGCCCAAUUCACCUAUAGUGUAAGGAGCAUUUUAUUUUAUUUUAUUUUAUUUUAUUUUAUUUUAUUAUACUUUAAGUUUUAGGGUACAUGUGCACAAUGUGCAGGUUUGUUACAUGUGUAUACUUGUGCCAUGUUGGUGUGAUGCACCCAUUAACUCGUCAUUUAGCAUUAGGUAUAUCUCCUAAUGCUAUCCCUCCCCUCCCCCCAUCCCACAACAGUCCCCAGAGUGUCAUGUAAGGAGCAUUUUAAAUAAAAUAUUUUGGGCAUCCUUAAGUCCUUUUUUAAAAAUCCAACAUUCUACAAUUGUGACAAAUAGGCUGAAAAAUUUUGUUUUGUUUAUACCAAAUUCAUUUUAAUAAAGCAUUUGCUG
rnacentral:lncRNA from 1 species